GUCUAUAGCCUACUAUUCUGAAUGCACAUGAUCUGGUCUGUUCACAGAAGAUAAGCAGAAUCACAUNUAUCUAGAACUUGGAUGGGAGACUGCCUUGAAAUACUAGAUGCUGUAGGCU
rnacentral:rRNA from 1 species